rnacentral:rRNA from 1 species
GGCGAACGCUGGCGGCGUGCUUAACACAUGCAAGUCGAACGGAAAGGCCCUGCUUUUGUGGGGUGCUCGAGUGGCGAACGGGUGAGUAACACGUGAGUAACCUGCCCUUGACUUUGGGAUAACUUCAGGAAACUGGGGCUAAUACCGGAUAGGAGCUCCUGCUGCAUGGUGGGGGUUGGAAAGUUUCGGCGGUUGGGGAUGGACUCGCGGCUUAUCAGCUUGUUGGUGGGGUAGUGGCUUACCAAGGCUUUGACGGGUAGCCGGCCUGAGAGGGUGACCGGCCACAUUGGGACUGAGAUACGGCCCAGACUCCUACGGGAGGCAGCAGUGGGGAAUAUUGCACAAGGGGCGGAAGCCUGAUGCAGCAACGCCGCGUGCGGGAUGACGGCCUUCGGGUUGUAAACCGCUUUCGCCUGUGACGAAGCGUGAGGGACGGUAAUGGGUAAAGAAGCACCGGCUAACUACGU